rnacentral:sRNA from 1 species
UCAAAACCGGUUUUGGUAAACUCGACCGGUUUACUCGACCUUUUUUUGGUUUGUGUGGUUUGUGUUUUUUUGGUUUUGCUGUUACUAACGUAUUAACGUUUAUCUUUGAGUUUCGUCUGUUUUCAGGUUUCAUCAUGAGUAACUAUAGUGGAGAAUCCUCUAUGGACCAUGAUUACAAUGUGGAUGAAGCUGAGUCCUGGUCCGUUAGACCGAGAGAACAACAUGUUUACCAGAGCUUCACGGAUGAAUUCGAACGCUCUGCAGCCCGACGUAAUCAGAGAAGAGCUGAAAUCGCCAGAGGAAAGAGGGCAAUGUCAAGUAGAUAUGAACUGAUUGAUGAGGAUAUCGAAACUGAGUAUGAGCCAGAGUCAUGGCGUAAGGAGAUGAAGCUGCUGAACAAACCCGACGAGGAGUAUAUCAGAUUCUUUGAGAUGAAUGACUUCUGGGAACGCGGUAUCCGUGCUAUGAGACUUUAGCCCAGCUGGGGUUACUGGAGGACGUGCAGCAUCUGUUCGAGAAGUGUCAUCUAGAGACACUCAUGUCUUACCCUUACGCUGCCUAUAAGGAGGAGACAAUCGAGUUUCUUUCCACGCUGCAAGUGGAGAUGUAUGAGGGACUCACAGACUUUGAGCUGGAUACCAUGGGGUUAGGCUUCUUGACGUUCUUAGUGAACGAACAGCGGUAUCAGCUUUCGAUCAAGAAGUUGGAAGAACUGUUUGGUUUCCCUAGUGGAAAGGGAAACAAACCCAGAUUUGACAGAGAAGAGCUUAAGGAUUUAUGGGCCACUAAAGGGAACAAUCUACCGCUAAACUCGGCGCGGUCCAAGAGCAACCAAAUCCGGAGUCCUGUGAUCUGCUACUUUUAGAGAUCGGUUGUCACCGUCUUUUACUCCAGGGAGUCUACAGGCACCGUGUCUAACACGGACAUGGAGAUGAUAAAUUAUGUGCUUACUGGGAUUCUCCGCCGGACGAAAGGGAAGAAUGUCUUGAGAGGCGAUCUCAACAACGCACCACCAGUAAUGCCUCUGUUGAUCCAUCUGUGUGGAUACAGGAAGUGGGCGUUGAGGAACGGAAAGAAGAAGGUGAGAGGAGCACUAUGCGUGGGUGGCGUUGUGACGCCAAUUCUGGAAGCUUGUGGAGUACCGCUCAAGGAACCAGGGUUAGCACCGAGGAUGAUGGACUUAGAUCAUUUGUGCAGAUGUGAGUUCUUGGAGUUUGACAUGGCUGACGACUUUCACCGCUACAGGUUCGAGCAUUCAUCGAUUAGAAUCGCCAACAUUCUUCUCCCCUGCAUUGACGCUACUAGGAUUCUCAAGGGCAGGAACAUUGACUUCAAGCCUGCGCUUGAAGAUCUUUAUUUCGAGGGCAGUCCGCCAACUGUGGAGAUCAGUCACACCGAAGGAGCUACAACAGAAGAUGUUGAUGAGUCGGAUGAUAUAGAUGAGGCAGAGUUUGACACGAGCAUGUAUCAUUUCAGUGUGCAUAUAUCUCCUGCGAGGGAAAGCAAGAGUUUGAGGGAAGCUCACAAGAACAACAGCAAGCUGCAGAAGUGGUGCAAGAAACAGGAUAAGUUACUCGCCAAGUUCCUCAGGGCUAUCAAGUUUCUGAAGGACAAGAUCAGCUGCUCCUCUUCCACUACAGCUAUCCCGCAGGGACAUCUUCCUCAGGACAUGCCUUCGAGGAGAUAUGACGCGCCCGAACCAAGUCAGCGCAGGCCUGAGCCUAGAGAGCAGGAGAUUCCGCAUGUCCCUGCGAGGCAUUCAUCAUUCGAGCCUCGUGAAUCUGGGAGGAAGAGGAGGACCACACUCACUCGAUCUAGCAGUAGGAGCAGACGACUUCUGCAGUUUCGUAGUUUACGCGACCGCGGGGCUGGCCGCAGCAGAAGGAGAGAGGUCGAGUAUCCUUAGAGCGGUGAUGGCCGCCAGAGAGCUGAUGAGGUCGAGUACCCACCUGCUGGAGCUGAUACGGAACAAGGUGGUUCGUCUAUGGCGUGGGAGCAAUCACAGGCAGCCAUUGACGAGCAACUACGUUCAUUCUUCGACUGAGGUAAGCGCCUCACUUCACCAUUGUAUUAUAUCAUCCGCUGUGAUUUGUUUCUUUAUUUUGUUUCAGUGAUUGGAUUUGUCCUGAGUACUCUCUUCCAAGUUUAUUCGCACAGUGGACUGUGUGAUUUAAGUUUGGGGGAGGGCUCAGGAAGUGUGUGUUGCAUUGUAUAUAUUCUUGAGUCUGCAUUCAUCUAAGGCAUAGAAAAACCAAAAAAAUUUUGAAAAAUUUCAGAAAAUGAUUUCACAAAAAAAAAAGAGUGUUCAUGUAGUUGCAUUACAUUUAAGAUCGAGUCUAGAGUGUUUCAUUUAGGAUUGUUGCAUAUACAUAAGGGAUAAUGAUGAGAUAGCCUUGUAAGCAUUUUGGUUUACCGGAUAAACUCAGUGCCCUCGUUGCUAGUUGUCUGUUGCGUAGUCAAUGAAUUUGAAAUAAAACUGAACCAUGCCUAGAUUGCUCUACUCGACCACAUUGUCAUAAUCUGAUACCAUUCCCUAUCAAUUUGAACCUGAAUCUGAUCUUUAAUUAUCAUGUCUGCAUCAAAUUUGAACUCAUGGAUACCUUAAAAUACUUGGAUUUUCUUAUUCAUUUUGAUCACUCUUGUUAAUCCAAGUAGCUGACUCUCCUUAUUAGAGCAGUUAACCCAAACCCAAAACUAGACUUUCUUUCAAGCCCUAUAUCACUUGUGAGUGUUUGUGAGGUCUUAUUCCGAUUAAGCUUGGUAGAAAGUGUUAGGUUCGUAACGACAGAGAUAGUGUCUCAUGUAGUUCUAGUUCGCAUUUUUCGGACUAGAUAGGACUAGGUGGACGCUUAUACUUUGGGUUGGGAUGUGUUUAAAAGAAAAAAAGGGUUGAUUAAUUGAUAAAAAAAGGUAAAAGACUCUAGGUGAAGUAAGCUAAAGAAGCAGAAAAAGUGUAGUAAAGGUUUUGGGAUUUGAAAAGAAAAGAAAGAGUUCUUGUUAGCUAUUGAAGAUGGGCAAAAGCCCUUGGUUUUAAAAUGUUAAAAACAGGAACCUUAGUUGUUAAAGAAAUCCAAAUCCGCUAGAUGUAUCAAAGUGUUGAGAAAGCUUCUCCUAGAGUUAAGAGAAAAGAAAAGAAUGAUUAGAAAGAAAAA